rnacentral:rRNA from 1 species
GGUAGUGGUGUGCGUGGAGCGGGGAUAAUAAGGAGGGGGGCAGCUGUAGUCGGGUUUACGGGUGGUAAAGUGUGAGUAGGGGGGUAGGUAAGUCGAUUGUGAAAGCCCUGGGCUCAACCGUGGAAUUGCAGUCGAUACUGGUGAGUUAGAGUGCGGUAGAGGGUGAAGGAAUUCCCGGUGUAGCGGUGAAAUGCGUAGAUAUCGGGAGGAACAUCGAUGGCGAAGGCAAUCACCUGGGCCUGAACUGACACUGAGACACGAAAGCGUGGGUAGCAAACAGGAUUAGAUACCCCGGUAGUC